GCGAUAGAUGGCGUUACUUUUACCGG
rnacentral:sRNA from 1 species